UACGUAGGGUGCGAGCGUUAAUCGGAAUUACUGGGCGUAAAGUGUGCGCAGGUGGCCGCGCAAGUCGAGUGUGAAAUCCCCGAGCUUAACUUGGGAAUUGCGCUCGAAACUACGUGGCUCGAGUGUGGCAGAGGAAGGUGGAAUUCCACGUGUAGCGGUGAAAUGCGUAGAGAUGUGGAGGAACACCGAUGGCGAAGGCGGUGAGCUGGGCAGUAGCUGACACUGAGGCGCGACAGCGUGGGGAGCAAACAGG
rnacentral:rRNA from 1 species